CCUGGUUGAUCCUGCCAGUAGUCAUAUGCUUGUCUCAAAGAUUAAGCCAUGCAUGUCUAAGUACGAGCCCCCGUACAGAGCGAAACUGCGAAUGGCUCAUUAAAUCAGUUAUGGUUCCUUUGAUCGUGGCCCCUUACAUGGAUAACUGUGGUAAUUCUAGAGCUAAUACAUGCGAAUGAGCGCCGACCUUAGCGGGAGGGAAUGCUUUUAUUAGGACCAAGACCAAUCCGGGUCUCGCGGCCCGGUCCCACUGGCGAAUUCUGGAUAACUUGGCGGAUCGCACGGCCUCGCCGCCGGCGACGACUCUUUCAAGUGUCUGCCCUAUCAACUUUCGAUGGUACGUUAUGCGCCUACCAUGGUUGUAACGGGUAACGGGGAAUCAGGGUUCGAUUCCGGAGAGGGAGCCUGAGAAACGGCUACCACAUCCAAGGAAGGCAGCAGGCGCGCAAAUUACCCAUUCCCGACACGGGGACGUAGUGACGAAAAAUAACAAUACAGGACUCUUUCGAGGCCCUGUAAUUGGAAUGAGUACACUUUAAAACCUUUAACGAGGAUCUAUUGGAGGGCAAGUCUGGUGCCAGCAGCCGCGGUAAUUCCAGCUCCAAUAGCGUAUAUUAAGCUGAAGUUGUAUCGUUAUUCUCAGAACCAUUUUCACUCGAUCCAUUUACACUGAGGAUGAGGAAGAUUCUAACUUUGUGCAGGGUCAACAGUGGACAGUUAAAAUGAAAAUUAUUUGAACUCAAUGCCUCUCUGACACACAUAUAUUUAAUGUCCUCAUAAUGAUGCAAGUGACCUAUAUCUGGUGGGGGUUAACCCAUAUUUGUCUUCUUAACCUUUUAUUUUUGUAAGUGACAUUUGUUUGUCAAACUCAGCAAAAAGAAAAUAUUGUACAUAGUUCUAUGUCAGCUUUGAGUAAUGUGAGUUAAUUAGCAUUAUACAAAAUGACAGCCUACUUAUCACUUUUUUGUCUCGGAGAGAAGAUUCAAAUAGUACAUUUUGUAAUUUCAGUUUCCUUUUUCCCACCAAGAAUUUCCCAAAGAAAAUGUAUAUAUAUAUAUAUAUAUAUAUAUAUA
rnacentral:rRNA from 1 species